rnacentral:rRNA from 1 species
UACGGGAGGGGGCUAGCGUUGUUCGGAAUUACUGGGCGUAAAGCGCACGUAGGCGGCUUUGUAAGUUAGAGGUGAAAGCCCGGGGCUCAACUUCGGAAUUGCCUUUAAGACUGCAUCGCUAGAAUUGUGGAGAGGUAAGUGGAAUUCCGAGUGUAGAGGUGAAAUUCGUAGAUAUUCGGAAGAACACCAGUGGCGAAGGCGACUUACUGGACACAUAUUGACGCUGAGGUGCGAAAGCGUGGGGAGCAAACAGG